rnacentral:lncRNA from 1 species
CCUGUGAUUAUGACCCGUGUAUAUAGCAUAUGAAUCCUGAAUACACCGUUUGGUGGUGCGUCUGUCAGAUGCGGAACGUACAGAUAAGGUAAUAGGUAACAGGUGAAUAUACUAUAGGUAUCGGUAUCGGACUCGACCCUGAACUUCUUAAUUAUUGGCAAUAUUAAUUACGUGGAUAACAAAAGGGCUGGAGUGGUGUAUUUUUUAAUCUACACCUUUGUACUAUAUUAUUUAUAUAUAAAGUUGAAUUCUUUGAUUCGUUGUUUUUACGUGAUGACGGCUGACAAAUUGGACCUCGUUAUUUUAGUAUUAUAGAUAAGGCAUAACGAAAACAAUAUGUUUCUCUCUAACUAUCAUACUAUAUGAUAAUAGGCAAAAAUGAGAAAAAUGGUAAAAUUUGUCAUUAAUGGGCAAUUAUAACUCCUGUUAGAACAGUUUUGACGUAUAUGAACAAUUGGUCAUUAUUUUUUGCUUCUUUCAAAUUUUCUCUAUUCAUGAUGAUAAUUGUCCAGUAUUUUGGCAUAAUUGAUCACUUUAUGGUAAAAGCAGGAAACUUUGCACAUUGUUAGAUAUGAUGAUAAGAAAAAUUUUGGGAUAUGAAGCCAUCUGAAAAAAAUCUAUUAUGACCGCCAAAAUUCAAAAUGGCCGUCAUCUAAAAAUUUUCCAUAAGGGCUGCCAAACACAAAACUGCCCCCAAUAAUUAAGAGAUUCAUUCAAUAUAUUGGUAUAGAUAAUCAGUCUAUAGUUAAAGCAUAGACCUUUGAAAAGUUGUUGUUAAGAUGCUUAUCAACAUAUUUGGAAAUGGACCUAUCUUUAAAAAUCCAAAAUGGCUGUGAAAUUUAAAAUGGCCGCCAAUAGUUCGACUAAUAAUUCAAAAAAUCCUGAAUGCUGGGUCCAAACUGAAUCAGCCUGACCAAACAUUUUUCCAAAGAAAGCAUUUACUUGGGUACAGAAACUACUUAAGAAUUUUCAUAAAUGUCCACAUACAUACUAAAAUGUUCAUUAUUACCAUAACUUACACUGUGGAAAGUGUUAUUAUGCCUUAACUUUAAAGAGGUCAAUUCUACCAAUGUUUUGGAAUAAGACUCAUGACUGCAGGGCGGCAAUUAAAAAAUACAGCAUAUAGGAUUGAUAUGGCUUCAUAUUCAAAAGUAUUUUAGCAUCAUUACUAACAAUGUGCAAAGUUUCAUUUAAGACAGACAGCUAGAUAUCAUAAACAUACUAUGUAUACACAAGCCAGAGUCUGAGCUUGAUAUGCUAUAUGAUCAUGAUGAUAUAAAAACUAAACUGACGAAAAAAGGUCAUUUAUUCAAAAUCAUAAAAUGCAAAAAAUACAUUUUGCAAAUAAAACAUUUGACAUAAAAGUUCAUAUUUAAUAUGAAAUAAUAAUACAUAAUUAAUACGAAAUUACAUCAAACUAAUUCAUGUCAAUUGAAUAAAUGACAAAGAAUAGCAAAGGUGGGGAGAAAAAUCUGCCCCAUAAAUAAACAUAUAUACAUAUCUACUUCAAAAGAUAACAUUUAAGGGCGGUAUGUGGGUGGGAAUUUUGAACAAAUUGUUUGAUAAGAAUCACAAGUUAACACAUCAAAUGCUGAUGAUAAAAGGAAGUGACCACAAUACACUUACACGUGAACUCGUACUGACCCGCAAGAUCAUUGACCAAUAAGAAAGAUGCAUUGGUCAUAAGUGAAAUUUCUCCGACUCUGCACGUGAAAACAUGUUAUCUAAUUUCAACAAUUUAUCGUUUAAUUAAGUAGGACACUCUGACCCUUUGACCAGACUAGAGACAUCAUACAUUUACAGUAUUAAUAGCUCGCUCUUUUAUUUAAGUCGGUUAGUAAUAACCAAUUAAAACAGAAUUAUCUUCUUUGCGGUCUUAAAUUAUUUUAUUUCGCUUAAUUUCCAAUUAGCAAAUAAAAUUGGUUGUUUUACACCUAAGUGUUCGAUACUAGUAUAUUGGACUUAUAAAGUCUUAUUUACAAUAGUGCAGGUUUGAAUAACUCGUAUUUCAUUAACAGGAAAUUAACAGAAAGGAACAUAUACUCAUCAAUAAUAAUUCAUGUCAGCAAACAUGUGCUGACUACUAUAUUAGGGACAAAUGUUCACCAGCAGUGGCUACGAUCUAGUGGUAAAAACACAUCAAAGAUUGUAAGCAGGCUUAAUUUGAUAGUAUUUCCUUAAAUUUUUCGUAUCUACUGAACUCUUGCAUAUUAGUAGAUUUCAUGAUUUCUUUUUCAUGUAGUAAUCCCUGUACCUUAUGACAGCUAUCUUUAAUUUGGUGGCCAUUUUGGAUUUUGGAUUUUAUUUUUUUCCUUGCUCCAUAUCUCAAUUUUGUUUAUACCCCUUAACCUUUCAUUGUGCCAAGUGUCAUGCUUUUACUAUAAAGUGAUCAAUUAUUCUUAUAUCCACUGGACUAAGAGAAGAAGAAGUUGAUUGUACUAAAUUCUAUCAUAUGUUUUACUAUAAUUAUACCCAAUAAUCUUGAAAAGUUUAAAUGAAAACAUAAUCAACAUAUAGUUGUUUUAUUCUCAUCUAAUGAAAAUAUUUUUCAAAGGCCAACAAGGUAUUAUUUGACACUGGACAUGAGAUUUUAAACCUACUCUUUUCUAUUUUCAUAUCAAAAUAAAUCCUUAGAAGUGGAAAGAACUUCAAUUGGUUUUUAAUGAUAAGGGGUUUGAGCGUGUUAGCAAUAACAGCCGCAAUAACCUGUUACAAUACAAAAAGGAAAAGCUGUGUUAUUGACAGAAUGUGUCAAGCUUGUGACAGCAGCUUGUAUAUUUUUAAAAGAGUGAGUUAUUAUGAAUGAAAUAUUUGUCAAGCUCAUUUUAUCUUUGGGAUACCCUGAUGUUUAAUUUUUUUUCUGGACGCUAUUUGAAAUUUCGUCGGAGAACACUGACUUGAAUGUAUUUAUAUAUCAUGUAUAUAUUAUGGAAAGCCACAGAGGAAUAGUUUGACAUUUGAUUGCUUUCAGAUUUUUAUAUCUUUUGUCGAACGAAGUUGGGGAAGGGAUAUAGUGUUUCAUUUGUCCGUCACAAAGUUUAAUUCCAUCUAUCUGUGGAAUAUGGAAAGCCACAGUGAAACACUAUAUCCCUUCCCCAACUUCGUUCGACAAAAGAUAUAAAAAUCUUAGAGCAAACAAAUAUAAAAUUAUUCCUUCAUAAGUAUCAACAAACAGUCAUAAAAAUAGGAAUGUAGCUUUGUAUGAUAUUUAACCAUCAAUUCUGCUCAAACCAAUUCGAAGGGUUAACUUGAACUUACUACCAGUUAUAAGAAAUAUUGAUCAUCGUUGAAUGCCUCGUGGUGACUUGAAGAUGAAGGACAACAAUAAAAACGUUCCAUAUUCGGGUUUUACCACAUAGUGAUCAUGUUGGUAUUGAUUUUGUCUCGUGUACAUUUACUCCAUAUCCUUUCAUAUUUUCAUUGGGUAAACGACAGACUAAAAUACUGCUACAUACUACAACUAAAAAUCAGAAAGCUGCAAAUAUUCUCUUCGUAACAACUGACAAAUCCUUUACAAAAUGUUUUUAUUUGAAUCUGUUAGGUUGCAGAGAAAUUGCAAAGUAUUAACGAACACCAAUUGGUUAUUUGAGGGGAUCGAAAAUCACUUUCAGUUAUUGAAACAGGCGAUACAUUCCCCAUUUCCUUUCUCAAUUUUACCUAUUUAAAAAACCUCCCGAGAUCGUUUACGUUGAAAGUAAAGAUAUCUUUAUUAUAAUUAUGUUUUUAAAUGAUCAAAACUGUAUAUAUUAUAAUCAAAAUAGAAUAUACAAUAAUUAUAUUGAGAAAGCAAAAAAACACAAACUAUUAAUCAUUUCCAAUGUUCUAACGACGAGUUGUUAUAAGAACUUGGUACCUGGUUUCAUUUCUAAAAAUAACCUGGUUUGGGAAAUCCCCAAAUACGAGUCAAGCAUUAUGUUCAUAACAAAACAAUGAACAUUUCGUUGUUAUAAAUAUUUUGCAUCAUCUUCUUAUAUGAAAAUUAAUAAAAAAAAAAAAAAUGAAUUCACUUCAAUUAUCUAAAAUAUUUAAUUUUCAUAAACCGCGAAAAAUAAAAAUAUAGAUCCACAGAAACGCAUGUAACAAUCUCACAAGCAUUAGCCUUUCAAAAAGGGCUAAGUCGACUCUUAGCUGAUGAAAAUGGAAAGUGCUCUCGCUUUGUAGAUUUAUUCAUUUACUAGAAUAGCCACGUGCAUCAAUCAACAAAUUUUACCACACACGUGAGGUCACACGUUCUGAAGUAGUAUAUAUCGUUUAACGUUGUUGUUUACGAAACUCCAGAAGAUUCGACUAUUUAUAGAUAAAAGUUACAUGUGUACCAAUAUCAUGAAUAUGCAUGAUUAAUGACCAGGCAAAAUCUAAUUGCUAAAAUAGAGAGGACAAAUCCGAUACUCUACGGGAUUGAAGGACAUUUACUAGGUUUGGAUUGUCCUAACCAAUCAAUAAACUUUGAUUAUUCACGUCUCGUAAUAUCUUCCAAUCAGGUAGCAAGAAAAAAAUCACGCACUGACUGACCAUCGUUCAAUUCUUAAUAUCGACUCCUAGGAGUCGAUAAUAAUGGACCGGCUAAGUGCCGGUCCAUAAUGAACAUUGGCAAUUAAAAAUAUUCUUUAUGUUUGAUCAUGAUCAUUGAUCGUAAAAGAUAUAAUAAGUUAAAUGUAAGUUUACAAUGACGGCUCGUCUAGAACGAUAUAUGAAAAAGUUUUACGACGGCUUAUCGUAAUCAUCCUAUAUUUACAAAAUAAUAUUACUUUGGGAAUACGUUCAUGACAUUUUGGUGAAUCGUAAAUCGUUUGGCUUUUGCGAUCUGUCUGUGUAUUAAAAGACUUAAAGUUCUAUUUGAAAUUGUCUCAAUAAAAUCUCCAAUAUGUGUGAAGGUGUGAUUAACGCAAAUUAAAAAGACUUAAUUUUUCAUAAAAGAAAAAAAAAAUAUAAGACACAAAGCACAAAUUAAGGCAUAGAACAACAAUAUUGAACAUGUUGAAAAAAUAAAACUUAAAGGAACUGUAGAGGUCUCCACAGGUUUUCAACAAGGGUAGAAUUCAAAACCUUCAAUAUGAAAGCCUCGAAAUCCAUGAUACUUUACUGUGCGGUAGUUAUAUCUACAAAAUCCAAUCAUGUACACGACAUAUAAUACAUGUAUAUUCAUACAUGUAUAUUUAUAUAUUGGGAAUUUUUUUUUGUUUCCAAACAGAAUUAUAAGGUUAUGUAUAAGUGCCUCCGUUCACUGCACAAUUGUAAAUUGUCUUCCUAAAGACAAGCAAAAAUAAAUGGCACAAGUUCACGUAGUCAUAAAAAAAGUCGUAUAAUUUACGUUAUUGAACAAAAAAUCACAAAUGCGGAAUAUCAUAUGUGAAUGAUUAGGAAAUCCGUUUCCCCUGCAUGUUUUAAAAGUCAAAGAAAAAUGUUUACCUGAUACAAACGUUUUAAGAACCAGCUUUGUGUAACCUAUUAUAGACAAAUUCGACUGGAUAUAAGGAAGUUAAUAUGUUUACUCUGAUUUGAAAUUAUCUUUUAGAACUUUUUUUAGUAAUUGAGAACCUAUGUUGUUUAUGGGUAAUAGGUGAAAUAUUGCAUGAUCCCUCAAAAUGACAGCAAGCGCAGUUUUCCGGACGAUUUUCAUUUGUACAUGCACUGCUAAAAACUGUCAGGUGCCCAUGGUAUAUUUUGGAGAAUGUUUUUUUUACUGAUUUUUACUAAAAAAAAAUUCUCUGUGUGUGCCAUUGCAAGAAAUAGUUUUACUCGUUAUUUUGUCAUAUUAAAAAAAGUUCCCGUUUAAACUGUACUAGAAAAAAGUUUGGCAUGUGAAAUGGACGAAGACAUAUUCUAACAGAAGUACAAAUACCAGUCCUCCCUUUUCUGUAUACAUAUGAGAAAACAUUUCAAAGUUAUUGAUUGAAUUCAAAUCCAUCACACAUACGGUUCACAUUGUAGUCCGAAAAAAUAAAGGACUUCAUUCCUAUCAAACACCUUUUUAAUUGUUUACCAGUAUAUUUCUUUUAGUUUUGGGUAAAAUUGUAAAGGAAAUAAUACUAUCAAGACGUCCUUCCAUUCUUUUUUUUUCUGUUCUGACUUUGAAGAAAUGACUACUUUUCCAAUCGAAAUGGUGCAUGGACAUAUUUUGUUUCAUAUUAUUAGAAUUAUUUUCAAAAUUAUCGGUAUUAAACUUGAUUAUCGACACAUGAAAGUUUGUCAGCAUUGUCAAUCUUUUUAACGUUAAUGUACCAAUAGGUCGGUCACUACUCAUAAGUUUGUCGAUAACGUACAUUUAGCUACUUUUGACGGUAAAGAAACAUCAAUUCGAUCACUUCUCUGUUACGGGCUGUUAUAUGAUAGGAACGACAUGAACAAAAACGAAAUGAUGUACAUAUUACAAAAAUACACAUCUAUAAGACGAUCAAAAAGUAAGAAAACUUCAGUAUCAUAAUUAUAAGCCAUUGUAUUGUCUCUUGUUCCACUGCUUGAAUAAAAUCAUACUCGGGUUCAUAUUUAUUCCGCAGCAAUAUUCCCCCCUAAAAAAAACCCACAUAAUUACUAGCCAUGAAGCAGUUAAAUUUAAUAUCCUAUGUAAAUUAUAAAAUCAUAUUAGAUUGGAAUCUCAAGGCAUUUCUGCUUGUGUGUUAUACUUUGCAUUUACCAAACAAGGAAAGCUAGAAAAAAAUUGAUAGUGCGCGUUUCCAGUUUAACGUCAUUUUUCUGUUACACUAUUUGGUAGCAAUAUAUGACGUUGCGUCAUCUGCAAACAACAUGUGAAGCAUCCAGGGGCCUGUUUAUCGAAACUGUCCUAAGUUCCGUCCUAAGAAUUUCUUAGGACAGAAUUUAGGAUAAAGUUAGGACCGACUUACGACACGUCUCAGCAUGCACAUCGAAGCUAUCUUAGGAAUAUCUUAGCUAGGACCUCCUAACCGAUGUCUUAAGUAUUGGCAGAAAGAAAAUACAAAUUAGAUAUGAAAAAUUACAAUAUGAUAUCAUAUUUUAUCAAUAAUUUUGUUUUUUCAAAUAUAGUUAAUUAGAAACUAAUUAUUAGUGUUACAUUAAAGAUAAUAAAUGAUUAUUGUAUAAUAUUUGUACAUUUAAACUGUACAAAACAAAACAUAAGACAAACAUAAUAACUACGUAUUAUAUAAAAAUUUAACAAACUAAUUGUAAACUAUAUAUAUAAUCGGUAAAAAUCAUUACAUGUUUUUGAGUGAGUUGAAUUCGAAGUGUCAAUGUUUCAAUAUUUAACAGUCCAAAGACAAAUCUCGUGCAUUUUUCAUAUAAAUCCGGAAUAUUUCAACUAUUUUACUACUGGUAAAAACAACAAUACGUGUGAAAAUGAUCAAAAGGCGAAAUUGAAUAUAUCCUAAAGUUAGGACCAUUCUUAGACCAUCUUAAGAUACUUAAAUUGGUAUCCUAAAGUUAAGACAAUUCCUAGGAUUUUCCUAAGUUGAGACAUGUUUGAUAAACCCACUUAGGACUAAGAUGUGUCCUAAGUUGGUCUUAAACACGUCCUAAUCCUUAGAAAUCUUUGAUAAACAGGCCCAAGGUCUUCAACCUUCUAAAAUAUCCAGCUUUAUACAAUAGGUUAUGCCGACGCCGUCAGAUAGUAAUUCCUAUGGCAUAUUGCUUCGCAGGCCAGACAAUAACAAAAACGCAACUUAACUUUUAUUUUAUUAUAUGUUUUUUAAUUUUUUUUUGGGAGUUGGCUGUUAAAAUAUAACAAAGAUUGUUUAUUUUUUUAGUUUCCAUAUUAUACGAAUUGCUAUUUACUGUAAUUAAAGAUUAGCUUUUUACAGCAUAAAUAUACGGAUUGCUUCGACAGAGUUUUAAUCUAAGACUGAUCUGUUCUGUUUCUAAAAAUCGAUUAAAAGAAAGACAUUUUACGUGCAACAGCCCUGUUAUCCAUUGGUUGUCGUCGGUUGCUAUCUGUCGUUUUUCGUGUAUUGUUUCAGUAUUAAAAGGUUUGGUCUUUUUUUCUCAUUGUUUUACAGUUUGCCAUACCGAAAACUUUGAAAGAUUACUGUGGUCUAUAGAUUGGACCGUUGGUUUUCCCGUUUGAAUGGUUUUACACUAGUAAUUUUUAGGGCCCUUUAUAGCUUGCUGUUCGGUGUGAGCCACGGCUCCGUGUUGAAAGCCGUACCUUAACCUAUAAUGGUUUACUUAAUAAAUUGUUAUUUGGGUGGAGAGAUGUCUCGUUGGCACUCAUACCACAUCUUCCUAUAUCUAUCUAUGGAUUUAUUCAUUGACGAAGACCGUGCAACAACCUGUAUAUCACAUCCUUAUUCUUAUUGUCUCAUUGUCAAUCAUACCAAAACCUCCUUAUUUUUACAUUUCGGUAGUAUAUAUUCUGUGAGAUUUUAACUUAUUUUCACUCACUUGAAGUCAUUGGUCUUUUCCAUACGAUAUUCACUGUGCUUAAACGGCUGUGGGUAACUUAAGUUACCCACAGCCCAAGAUGGCGGACUCUAAACUCGUUGAUAUUUAAUUCAUACAAAAUGUACCUUUUGCGACGUUUUUCAUGCAGAAUGUAAAUAUUUUUAGGAUUAUUGAACAAAGAAAUGACUAAAUUACCAUAAAUUUGUUAAUAUAGAGUUCACUAAAGCGCAAGGUCAACUUUAAAAAAUGCAUAAGAUGUCCGUAACUUUUUGAUCGAAACUAAGCAGACUGUCCGUAACUUUAUUUUUAGAUGUUGGUAACUUUUGAUUUAAAAUUUUAAGAAUUAUAAUUUCAACAAUUAGAAGACAAUUAACAUCAUAUUUGUAACCUUCGCGGCCGUUUAUACUACUACUCAUUCACACCAAAUGUGAUUUUAUUAACGCAUCAUCAUACUUACACCACAGAAGUUUUAUGUGGGGUUUGUGGUACUCCAUCCUGGUUAUGGUUUGAACUUUUAUUUACUGAUGUGCGUCUUAUCGACGUUUUUCGCUUGUCAGACCAAGGCUUUUCCAUACUUUUUAAUGUUUUGAGUUUAAUUAUAUGUUUGCGGUUUACCUUCACCUCUGUUUCUUUCUAUGUGUAUUUUUGAUGAAUACUCUUUGACGCGGCUCGGUAUUUAUACAUCCCACCAGUUAGUUAUAGUGUUAUGAUUUUUUGAAUAUAUGUUUCCUAGUAUGUUUUUUUUUCUCUCUUUGUAUGUUAUCUUGUUGAGACUAUUAAAUUACCCCUGUUGUCCUACGUAGUUAUUAUAUUUUUAUAUAUUUAUGUCAAAUUGUUACACUAUGUUGACUGCUCUUUUUUCUUUAUUGUCACUGACUUUUACCCUAUUGUGUCUUUUAGUUUUAUUCAGUUUAAUGAGAUUUAAUGCAACUUGCAUACAAAUGAAAUAUGCAGCUGCUGUAAAACUAGGUUUAUUCAUUUAUACAAAAUGUCCUUUUUUUAAAUUUUCCCAUUUACUGUAAAUCUUGGUUUUUGUGGGGAUGAGAGAAAAGUGUUUUUGGCUUUUUCAAAAAGACGGAAAAAGUUUGUGCACUUAAGUCUCGUAUAGUCUAUCCACUGCAUGCCUGGGCAAUUUGGGUUCCCCUCCAAAAUCCAAAAUCCCGGAUUCACGCUACCCUUGUCGUUGCUGGCAGAAAAUCAGUAAGUGUAUACAUGCUACAUUUAUGUGUAAAAAAUACUUGUGUAGUCUACUUGUUCAAAAAUAAAAACGAACAAUGAUAUGUUUCAACAGUUUAUCAUACUGCUAUGAUCGGAAACAACCCUCCGAACUUGGCGAUUCGGAUACCCCGACGUUAUACAAAAUGAGACCCGAGUUUUGCGGAUUUAUCGUUAUUUUUUUCAUAUUUUUCCCAAUUUUGUCUUCCAUCGAUCAUAUAAUGAAUAUAUCAUACUAGACAUCUACUUCGUUUUGUGAAUAUGUAUUCGAUGCAAUCUCUAUCAUCAGUUUAAACAUUACAUCCGCGUAUGCCGAUUCUUUGAAAGUUACGGACAUCUCUAUUGGUAUGAUGAAAAUUAUACGGACAAGUUGUUUUGAAGUUACGGACAGCCUAAGUGUUUUUUAAAAUCGUGCUGUGAUCGUUUAUUUUGUAGAAUUUAAUCACCUUUCCAGUUUAGGGGUUUCCCUAAACGAUCAAUACAACUUUUAAAUUCAGUUGUUUAAUUGAUGCAUUCGUGGUAUUGUUAUUCUAUAGAAGAAAAGUAUCUAACCGACGCAAGGCGGCUCCAUCUUGGGCUGUGGGUAACUUAAGUUACCCACAGCCGUUUAAGCACAGUGGAUAUUGACGUUACGCACGAUAUUGCGUCUCAAAUGGUUAACGUCAAUUUUGUACGAUUUACGGCGAUUAAUGAUUAUUUAUUUUUAAAGCUUACAAUUUUUGUUUUGCACAACAAUAUGGAUACUUCUUAAUGAUUAGUUGUACUGAAUAUGCAUGAAAUAUUUCCCACUGAAAGUAACGUAAGCAACAAACAACAAAAUAUAUCGUAUUUGCGUAAUGCAUAAAUCUAUAUGAAAUGAGAAGAUAUACUAGUACAUGGUAUGACAACUUUUUCACAACUUAAGAACAUCAUCUAAACGAACAACCCCAGUCAUUGGAUUUUUUUAUGCUUUGUAGUAUUGUUGAUAGUAUCUGACUAUCAAGAAAAUUCUAUCUGAGGAAAUAUAUACAGAUGAUCCACCAUAAAUUGCGUCCCGAAUCGACAACGUUGAAAACGUAUGAAAAUCGUCCAGUGGACAAACUUUCAAGACAUUUCAUUUCUUUGAAAACGAAGUCGUUUUGACUACGCUUUAUCAAAAAGUAUGUAGCUGUUUUGUAGAGUUAAAGUACAAUUACGGAAAAGCACUAUUUUGCAUACGACAAAUCAAAAUUUUAAAAGAAAUAACGUUGCAAAUGAAUGACAUUUUAUAUCGGCGAAAUCCGACAUUGGACAUCUUGCAAGACAUUUGUCAGAAGCCGUUGCAUUUUUAUAUAUGGUGUGAGUGCUGCAAAAAUUCGAUUUUGAUAUGGUCUAUCUACACUGGGGUAAAGCUGAUGACCGUAACUGCAUUCACGGUCAUCCCAAGAUGUCGGAUGAAAAAUUAGGUCAGUUUCUGUAUUGUCUGUUAAAGUGUUUCUAUAUCAUUUUCUUUGCAAAUCAUACAUUGAAACGAUGUAAAUUUAUAAAAGAAUCACUCGGAAAUCACUAAUUACUACCGAGAAAUGUGCAUGAAACGGGAAAUUCGAUUUGAAAAAAUCGUUCAGAUGACCGUAAAUCAUAAUCAAAAUAUUUUCAAGAUGACCGUAACAUAAAACAAGGAUGACCGUGAUUGGUAAAAAGAUGACCGUAACUUGUAAUGGAUGACCGUAAUUUGUAAAGACUGACUGUAAUUUAUAUAGGACGACCGUAACUUUUAUAGGAUGACCAUCAAUUCUAAGAAAUAUCCGUAUUGUAUUCAAAGCUUUUUUGUCGAGUUUGUCGAUAUCAAUAGGGGAUCGGUUAGCGGAUAUGAAUAUGUUUCAUACAUUUUUUUUUAAACUAUAAUAUAAUUGGCCGUAUUUUGGAUUUAUGACAAUGAUAGUAAAUUGCAUAUUUCUCGUAAAUAAUGAAAUAUUUAUUGAUAACAACUUAAAAAUUUUAACACAAAUUGACAGCGAUACGACGAAAAUUUGAAGAAACAUGAAUGUGUCCCUAGUACACGGAUGCCUCAUCUACACUAUCAUUUUCUAUGUUUAUUGGACUGUGAAAAAUGGGAUAAAACUGUAAUUUUGGCAUUAGAAUUAAAAAAGAUCAUACCAUAGGGAAAAUGUGUACUAAGUUUCAAUUUUAUUUAACUUGAAGCUGGACAAACGGACAAACAAACAGACGAACAGACGAACGUACGCACAGAAACAGAAAAACAUAAUGCCAAUAAAUGGAGCAUUAAAAACAUUAAUAAUACAUACGAAUAUUUGGUAAUCGAGUCUGUGUAUGGUUCCAGAGGGCAGAUUAAAAUCUUAAUUUUUCUUGAUAUAUGCAGGCGCAAACACUUUUGAAAUAGAACAAAAGAAUCGAAGCUCUUUGUUUAUCGAGAAAGCGAUAAAUGCUUACUGUAAUGUUUGAUAUAGUAACAAAAUUUAAAAAAGUUAAUAGAAACAAAAAAAACGACAAUUUUCUUCUCAAUUACGAAGUGUUUUACUUUAAAAACACCAUUUGCAUAAGUUUUCAAUUUAUCUAUUACAUAAUAAUGCAAAACAAUAGGAUAUCUAGUCGACGACAUGGGUAUCUAUAAGUUGGAUGUAGAAAAUGCAUAAUCUCCGAUUUUUUUUUUACCACGGACGGAGAACAUAUCAAUCUUUUAGUUCAGAAAUAUUCGUGUCUGCCCUUCCAUUAUGUGAAUCAAGAAAAAAUUCGCCAAAAUAGGUAACGAUUGUAUCGAAAAGAGAAAAUCGAGUGCACCUUUUUAUGUUAGGGCAUGUUUGGGGUGUAUAUUUUGUCUUAAAAACGUACAAAGCAAGAGUAUUUGAUAUAGCAUCUGGCUUCAGAUUCUAUCAUUUUUAUAUAUCAAAGCUACAGGUUGACUUUAUAACGUAAAAAAAUGACAGUACGAAAAGAUGAAAUAUAUGGGUCAAGUGAAAUACCUAUCUAAUGAAUCACAACAAUGAACAGACAAUAUUUUUUAAGUUCAAUCAAUGCAGACAAGAUCAUUAACUGAUGCUCAUUAGCUAGUAGAUACAUUUGUCUUUUAAAAUAUAACUGACAUAUAACGAUCGAUCGUAAUGGUGCUAUGUGGAUAAAUUUAUCAGUUUUCAAGAGCAAAAUUGGCAGAGAGUCAUCCCUACAGUGGCUUCCAUUUCUACGAUUGUGACAAUGAACUGGCGUAAUAGGGAGAUAAUUUUGAAGAAGUAGAAUCCUGACUAUAUGAAUAACAUUUCUGUAUAUAUACAAAUAACCAACAACGUUCCCCCUUGUGAUACGCUAUUCGUACAAAAAUAUUUUAAGGAUCUACUUUGCUGGAGCUCACCUUCACUACUUUAGUCGUAUGAUAUUUUCAAAAUAUUUCUGUUAUUUUAUUUGCACGACAAAAUGACGACGAUAUAAUAUCAAUUGAUGUACAUACAUUGGCAUUUUAAAAAAUGUGUAUUUAUUAUAUGUCAUUAAAAGGAAUCCCAGAAAUAAAAAAAAAAUCUUUUGUCGAGCAGUUGGAUGGAGGCUGUGCACCGCAUUUUUUCAUUAUACUUGUAAAGUGUCAUUUUAUCGCGCUUUUGUAGCAUGUUUGCCCUACCUGUUCAUUUGCAUGUCUUUUGGCAAAUUCAUUUAAAAAUAAAUUAAACCCUCUACUGUAAAAAAAGAUACAUAUGGUAAUCUUUGCAUUUGAAGCACGUCUUAUUUUCUUCUACCUAUAGGAUAAUACUCUCAUAUUAAUAUGUUUAUACCAACACGAUUAAUCAUUUGAUACAAAAAGGUAGUUAUAUAAACACGGAUAUUUCUUAGAAUUGAGGGUCAUCCUUUAAAAGUUACGGUCAUCAUUUACAAAUUACGGUCAUCUUAAAAGCAAUUACGGUCAGCCUUGUUAUGAAUCGCUGAUUCUGUUACGGUCAUCUCGAUUGUGAUUUACGGUCAUCUGAGCGAUUUUUUUCAAAUCGAAUUUCCCGUUUCAUGCACAUUUCUCGGAAGUAAUUAGUGAUUUCCGAGUGAUUCUUUAUAAAUUUACAUCGUUUCAAUGUAUGAUUUGUAAAGAAAAUGAUAUAGAAACACUUUAACAGACAAUACAGAAACUGACCUAAUUUUUCAUCCGACAUCUUGGGAUGACCGUGAAUGCAGUUACGGUCAUCAGCUUUACCCCAGUGAUCUAUGUACUUUUGUAAGCAUUAUUUACACAAACGAAGUUUCAUAUAAACUUAUAUUUUAAAACAUAUAAAUUUUGACAACUUAAUAUUUUCCUAAAUCUUACCACAAUGAACACUAUUUGUUUUGGCCAAAAAAUAGCGUUGGUCGUUACAGGAACGCAUAUUAAGUAAUAUUGUAAUACUUUAUAAAUAAAGCAUAUCAUUCUUUCGGAUUUUUGUGGAUAUAACACUGGUUUGAAAAACACAAACGCCCCUGCUAAAGUUAUUAUGCGUAUAGUCAGUUACGUCUGACACGCAUAUUUUCGACGUUUUGUCAAUAUGUUGUCCUUAAUUUAGACUAUUGUAAAAUAUGAUAAAACAAUUUGUACUUUUUUUGGAAUAGUAUUUACCUGUCUAUUCUAUGGAUAUCAAUUGUAUAUAAAUUAACUGUUAUGAUUUUACAGAAAAUCUGUUUAUCAGGGUAGACUGGUUGAUUACACGGUUUUAACGCAAUGACCUCUUAAAUAUACAAUAACAAAUGUUUAUUUCAUAUUUUGACCCGAUAUUAUUACUUACUAAAUUAGGGGGGAUCCAUAAAUUAGGGGGGACCAUUCCUCAAAGCGCCUGUGAUGUUAGUUGAUGAGAAACAUUUGCCUGGACUGGUAUUCUCACAUUUGGUGCUUUGAUUUUCUUUUUUGUUAAUUAGCAUUUCAUUUGCGCCAAUACAUUAUUCAAUUAAACAAAAACCCAAUGUUCGCCAAUAAUACUUGUAAAUAGUAUAUAAUAAUAAUAAUAAUAACUAGAACACACCCGUGAUAUCACGGGUCCGUGACUGAAUUAAAGAAUAUAACUAUGCGCAAGCAUUAUUUUAGUAUUAGUAUUGUCAUCUGAUAAAGUCAUGCCGAUUAUAAGAUACACAGUUUUCUCUGCUUUCAAAUCUUUCUGUUUGAACCCGUCGAACUGGAACUUAAUUAUCAAUUAUUGGUAAUAUUAAUUAUUUGGAAAACAAAAGGUCCUGGAAUGGAGUAUUUUUUAAUCAACAGCAUUGUCCUAUAUUAGUUAUAAAUAAAGUUGAAUUCUUUGAUUCGCUGUUUUACGUCAUGCCCGCUAACAAAUUGAAAACUGUACCUAUACGCCUUAUUUUAGUCCAGAUUUUUAGUAUUCGUAUUGUUAUCUUAGAAAGUCUUACUGAUUAAAAUACUACAAUUAUAGGUAACAAUUCGACAUUUUAGUAGUGUCAACCCUGUGAUUAUGACCCGUGUAUAUAUCAUAUUAAUCAUGAAUACACCGUUUGUUGGUGCGCCUGUCAGAUGCGGAACGUACAAAUAAGGUAAUAGGUAACAGGUGAAUAUACUAUUGGUAUCGGUAUCGGACUCGACCCGGAACUUCUUAAUUAUUGUCAAUAUUAAUUACGUUGAAAACAAAAGGGCCUGGAGUGGUGUAAUUUUUAAUCUACACCUUUGUACUAUAUUAGUUAUAUAUAAAGUUGAAUUCUUUGAUUCGUCGUUUUUACGUGAUGACGGCUGACAAAUUGG